rnacentral:misc_RNA from 1 species
GAUGAAGGAACGUAGCGAAAUGCGAUAACUAAUGUGAAUUGCAGAAUUCAGUGAAUCAUCGAGUCUUUGAACGCACAUUGCGCCCCCUGGUAUUCCGGGGGGCAUGCCUGUCCGAGCGUCAUUGCUGCCCUCAAGCACGGCUUGUGUGUUGGGCUCCGUCCCCCCGGGGACGGGCCCGAAAGGCAGCGGCGGCACCGAGUCCGGUCCUCGAGCGUAUGGGGCUUUGUCACCCGCUCUGUAGGCCCGGCCGGCGCCAGCCGACAACCCAUCAUCCUUUUCAGGUUGACCUCGGAUCAGGUAGGGAUACCCGCUGAACUUAAGCAUAUCAAUAAGCGGAGGA